UGAGAACAGCGGCAGAGAAAGAGCUUAUAAGAGAAGCGGAGAGAAACAGCUCACUGUGUACUUCUCCCAGGCUAAAAAAGGAGAGCCCUCAGUUAGAUGGGAAAGAGUAGCCUCAACAUAUGGUUAUGGGCACCGCCUUAUGUCGGCCGUUGUUGAAGGUAUAACUGGCAAUGCUGACGAGCUAGCUAGGAGCCUACAGCACCUUAAUGUACCGCCACCUUUGUCAUCAGCAAUGGAAGACGUAGAUCGAGAAAUGGCACGGUAAAAAUUUGUUCAUGGGGCCUUGGUGGCUAAGUAAUUGAAGGCGCUUGCAGAUCUGCUAAAGCUGGCUUUUCACCACUACAAUACCCCUUUGUUGAAACUGGAUAUAUGUAUGAUAAUGUCAUAUGAAAGAGUGGCCAGCACUCACCAAAGUUUGGUGAUUCCCUCCGGGUACUCCGGCUUCCUCAUGUGAGCACUGUUGUUGAAGUGAAACCUUCGUGGCCGAGCGGUUAGCGUGCAUUGUACGAUAACCGCUGUAGCAUCGCACCAAUGAGGUUGUGAGUUCAAAUCCAGCUGCCAUUGGCUUUGUCUCCAGAUUUACGAGCGAAGGUUUUCCAGCAA